GGUUAUUGCCAGGAGUGGUCUUUUGGGUUUUGCGAGAACGGCAUGUCCAGGACUCCAGGUUAAAACCAGCCGCCCUGCGAGCAAGAGCACCAUGUACCUCUACUAGGAGGGCAUGCCAUAUUUUCCACAAGCUUAGCCGCGAGUCAUACGACUUCCUCCGCAGGAACUGUAACCACUUGUACUACGCUCUGCCAUAAUCUCCGCAUCCCCAAGCUUCCAAGUAAGGGUAGGAGAUUUAGUCAUUGUUCUUCUGAUUAGCCACUGAACUAAGGUCUUCUUUAUAAAAAUUAGUCACUGGACUGUAUUUGUAGGCAGUGUGUGGUGGCGUUUGACACAUCUUAAUAUCAUGAUUUACUAUAGAAAUGGCCACAUAAUCUGUAGUAUUUUUUUUCCAAAACCAGAAUUGGUCCAACUGUAAUUUUCUUGUUACUUCUCAGAAUUGAAGCUUGGUACCGAUACUAGCUGCAUACCAGUACUAGAAAAAAAAUCUGAUUUGGCCACACUCCAUGCAAUGGCUACAUACUUGAAGUGGUUGUCUGGAUAAAUAAUAUUAGCGCCCAAUUUUUCAAAGAACGUAUUGUCAUUUGAUAUUUUUUGGAAAAUCCAAUUUUACUUAUAAUUCACGUAAUAAGUACGCUCAGAGUCUUGUUUGGACUAGAAAAUUGUAGUAUCCAUUGAAAUUCGCCAGAUAGACAUACAUACUUGUUUCCACUUGAAUCCAAGCAAACUAUCAUGUAAAUUAGAUGAAUUGUACAAUUUUUUGACUGAACCAUGAAUUUUUGUGAUGGCUUACCUACUUUAAAAAUUAUAAUUUAAGGUCUUGACAAUUGAGGUGAACAUGGUCAAGUGCUGAGCAGUUUGGGGUCAGAGAUUGAGAAUUGAGAUUUCUUUUCACCAAAAAGAAAACUUUGUACCAAUUAUUCUUGUCUGUUUUCCACUCUGAUGCUUUAGAUGUUUAAUGGUUUCAUAGUAUUUUUGUCUAUACAGUCAGUGUAUUUGCUAAUUGUCAAGUUUGUACAGGUUAUGAUCAUUACCCUUCAACCGGGUUAUUUGAAAGAACGUU
rnacentral:lncRNA from 1 species